rnacentral:rRNA from 1 species
UACGGGGGGGCAAGCGUUGUUCGGAAUUACUGGGCGUAAAGGGCGCGUAGGCGGCCUUCUAGUCGAACGUGAAAUCCCCGGGCUCAACCCGGGAACUGCGUCCGAUACUGGAAGGCUUGAAUCCGGGAGAGGGAUGUGGAAUUCCAGGUGUAGCGGUGAAAUGCGUAGAUAUCUGGAGGAACACCGGUGGCGAAGGCGACAUCCUGGACCGGUAUUGACGCUGAGGCGCGAAAGCCAGGGGAGCAAAGCGGG